UUCCUCCACACCCUUGCCAACACUUAUUAUCUCUUGCCUUUUUAAUAAUAGCUAUCCUAAUGGGUGUGAGGUGGUACCUAAUUCACUAUGGUUUUCAACUAAGCCAGUCCAGCACAGUCACUCUAGAUAAUCUUGCACUUUAACACUCAGAACGCUAUAAGAGCAUUUUUUAUUGUGAGGCUAUAAUACUGCUGAUAUGAGGCUAUAAAGAAGUCUGAUAUGUAAGAAAUCCCCAUAAGACUUUGGCCACAUAGUAAUCAACCCCUUUUAAAAGGUAUCUUCUAUUCUAAAUAUUCAUGAAUACAUUUUCCUCUCCUCACUCUUCCCCUUCAAGACAUUUCUCACUGUUUCUCUUCUCUACCAGCACUGAAGAGAUCUCCAAAGGUCUUAUAUACCUAAGUCUAAAUGUAUGUGGACUCUGGGCUUUGCCAUUUUAAAGUACUGAACAAAAUAAAAGGAAAAUACAAAUGAAGUGGACUGCAUAUUGUUUGUUUAAUUUGCAUAUAGAUGAUGAACUAGUGGGAAGAAGCUAUGUGGAAACGGCAGGUAAAUUAAGAAUAAUUAUCCUCAGCAGAAAAAAGAAUACAAAAGUUACCUGAAAGGCAAGAUGAUCAAAAGUCAAAAAUCCGAAACACAGACCCAGGACCACAUUAUUGCAAAAGUGUGUAAGAAACAGGUUUUUCCACUCAUCACAUUUGUCUUUAUUUCUCAAAAUAAAAUACCUGUGAUUAGCUAAAAUUCCACAGCAUUAGUCACAAUAAAGAUUCUCACUAAAACAUUCCAACAUAAAUGGGAAGGCAAAUGUAACUAUUAAACCAGUGAUUCUUCUCUAGCUCUUAACACUAAACAGAUCGAUCAUUUUUUGCUUAAAUCAAAACUGCACUGAAUAUCUUCUGUCCAACACUCUUUCAGAUAUUCUGCUCACCGACAGCUAAAAGACGUACAAAUGUGAUGCCAGAAAAAAAAGCUACUGUCAACUCUAAACCUGGAAAUCUUUGGUUGCAACUCUUUGGAUGCACUUUGCAAUCUUUGAUCUGAAUCUAUUUAAUAAAAUGCUAUUUCUGAGAAGUCGUAGAGAAUUUGGUGGUUCAUGGUAUGUUGGACCGAAAAUUUAUAAAAAAAAAAAUUGAAAACCACUUUUUUAAAAUCUGAAAUAUACUAAAAGUAAAGAAUGUGUGGCGGUUAGUAGUCGCUGCUGUGCGGCCGCCAGCAGGAUUGGUCUGAAGAGACGCGGGGACCAAGUGGCAGCGACUCGGACAUCUGGGCUGUCACUGCCGAAAACAGGCCACAAGAGAGAUAAUCAAUAUGCGUUUCCAAGCCUUUUGGCUAUGCUUGGGUCUUCUGUUCAUCUCAAUUAACGCAGAAUUUAUGGAUGAUGAUGUUGAGAUGGAAGACUUAGAAGAAAAUUCAGAAAAAACUGAUGUUAAUGAAGGUGAACUUUCCUCAGAGAUUAAAUAUAAGACACCUCAACCUAUAGGAGAAGUAUAUUUUGCAGAAACUUUUGAUAGUGGAAGGUUGGCUGGAUGGGUCUUAUCAAAAGCAAAGAAAGAUGACAUGGAUGAGGAGAUUUCGAUAUACGAUGGAAGAUGGGAAAUUGAAGAGUUGAAAGAAAACCAGGUACCUGGUGACAGAGGACUGGUAUUAAAAUCUAGAGCAAAGCAUCAUGCAAUAUCUGCUGUAUUAGCAAAACCCUUCAUUUUUGCUGAUAAACCCUUGAUAGUUCAAUAUGAAGUAAAUUUUCAAGAUGGUAUUGAUUGUGGAGGUGCAUACAUUAAACUCCUAGCAGACACUGAUGAUUUGAUUCUGGAAAACUUUUAUGAUAGAACAUCCUAUAUCAUUAUGUUUGGACCAGAUAAAUGCGGAGAAGAUUAUAAACUUCAUUUUAUCUUCAGACAUAAACAUCCCAAAACUGGAGUUUUUGAAGAGAAACAUGCCAAACCUCCAGAUGUAGACCUUAAAAAGUUCUUUACAGACAGGAAGACUCAUCUUUAUACCCUUGCUUUACUUUUCUUGAAUUUUUUGAGGACUCCCGCGUUCCCUGGUAAGAAGAAAUAUAAAGAUACAGAGUAUAAAAAAACCGACAUAUGUAUACCACAAACAAAAGGAAUACUAGAGCAAGAAGGAAAGGAAGAGAAAGCAGCCCUGGAAAAACCGGUGGACCUGGAAGAGGAAAAAAAGCAAAGUGAUGGUGAAAUGCUUGAAAAAGAAGAGGAAAGUGAACCUGAGGAAAAGAGUGAAGAAGAAAUCGAAAUCAUAGAAGGGCAAGAAGAACGUAAUAAAUCAAAUAAGUCUGGAUCAGAGGAUGAGAUGAAAGAAGCAGAUGAGAGCACAGGAUCUGGAGAUGGGCCAAUGAAGUCAGUACGCAAAAGAAGAGUACGAAAGGACUAAACUAGAUUCAAGUAUUUUUAAUUCCUGAGAGGGAUGUUUGGCAUUCUAAAAUCAGCAUGCCAGACUUGAACUUUAAUCAAUCUAUGCACAUCCUGUUUCUAAUAUCUAGCAACAUUUUUCUUUCAGACAUUUAUUUUAGUCCUUCAUUUCAGAGGGGAAAAAAAGCAUCUUUGAAGUUACCUGGUCUUUGAAUUUAGAAUAAAAGUGGCACAUUACAUAUCGGAUCUAAGAGAUUAAUACCAUUAGAAGUUACACAGUUUUAGUUGUUUGGAGAUAGUUUUGGUUUGUACAGAACAAAAUAAUAUGUAGCAGCUUCAUUGCUAUUGGAAAAAAUCAGUUAUUGGAAUUUCCACUUAAAUGGCUAUACAAUAUAACUGGUAGUUCUAUAAUAAAAAUGAGCAUGUGUUCUGUUGUACAGAGCUAAAUGCAAAAAAAAAAAAAAAAAAAGAAUGUGUAUAUUUUAUCACUAGCUAAAAUAUCUAAGUGUUUAGGUUAUAUCAUUAUGCUAAAUAUGGCUGCUUUUUCAUAAAAUUAGCAAACAUGAGUUUUUACAGCAUAACCAGCAAGAAAAAAAUAGGUAGAUAAAUUAGGCCAGUACUAAAGAGAAUAUAUAUCUGACUUCUAUCUCUCAAAUACUCUUAUGGAGGAAAGUGUUAAAAAGUUAAGCAGUUAAAGGUACUUUCAGGUAAAGGUUAAACUGACUAUGAAAACUCUGCCCUAGACCAGGAGCUAUGGCUUUUACCUGUAGCCCAGCACUUUGGGAGGCUGAGAUGGCAGAAAUGCUUGAGGUCAGCAGUUAAAGACCAGCCUGGGCAACACAGCAAGACCUUAUAUCAACCAAAUAAAUCGAUCAGUAAAUAAUUAGCCAAGUAUGGUAGCACACACCUGAAGUCCUAGCUACUCAGGAGGCCAGGGUGGGAGGAUCACUUAUGCCCAAGAAUUCAAGGUUGGAGUGAGCUAGGAUCGUGCCACUAUACUCCAGCCUGGACAACAGUAAGAGGUCCUAUCUCUAAAGAAAUAAGCAACUCUGCCCUAGAAAAUGGUGAUUAAUGGCACAGUAUCAACCAAUGAAUAGAACUGUGGUCUGCCUCAGUGCUCAGUCCCAGCUUACCUUGUUAGAUACUUUUUUCAAUGACUCGUUCUAACAAUUCAAAAACUCUUCAUCAGGCCGGGCGCAGUGCCUCACGCCUGUAACCCCAGCACUUUGGGAGGCCGAGGCAGGCGGAUCACAAGGUCA